CCCCAGCGCCACAAGUGGGAGUCGCUUUUAUUGGGCCUAAAGCGUUCGUAGCCGGUAUUAUAAGUCUUUUGUGAAAUUGUUUGGCUUAACCAAACAGCGAGCAAGAGAUACUGUAAUUCUAGGAACCAGGAGGAGUAUGGAGUAUUCCAGGGGGAGCGGUAAAAUGUAAUAAUCCCUGGAGGACUACCAGUGGCGAAGGCGCCAUACUAGAAUGGAUUCGACGGUGAGGGACGAAGGCCAGGGGA
rnacentral:rRNA from 1 species